rnacentral:rRNA from 1 species
UACGUAGGGUGCAAGCGUUAAUCGGAAUUAUUGGGCGUAAAGAGCUUGUAGGCGGUUUGUCGCGUCUGCUGUGAAAUUUCGGGGCUCAACCCCGAACUUGCAGUGGGUACGGGCAGACUAGAGUGUGGUAGGGGGAGACUGGAAUUCCUGGUGUAGCGGUGAAAUGCGCAGAUAUCAGGAGGAACACCGGUGGCGAAGGCGGGGUCUCUGGGGCCGAUACUGACGCUGAGGAGCGAAAGCGUGGGGAGCGAACAGG